GCUGAACUUGAUGGACGCAAGUCUCUUUUCAGCUAUGUAACUAUGUACUAUGUACUAAUAUUUGUGAUGGGUAUUUAAUUUUUAUUUUUUUAAAUGCAUGUAGGCCCAUGUGUGAAUGCAUGUGUGUUUGUUGCAGUGUCUCAUACACACACACAGUCAUACACAUAUACUAUCAAAUACAGCCAUAUACGCACAGUCCUAGGUACAUAGUUACUCUCACACAGUCACACACAAAGUUACAGGCAGAUGGUCACACACGCACACAGUUACAGGCAGACAGUCACACAAAUUCUCCCACAUAAUUACAG